rfam:Ipomoea nil DNA, scaffold: scaffold2191, cultivar: Tokyo-kokei standard.
GCUCUUGUAGCUCAGUUGGUUAGAGCACUCGUUUAGUAAGUGGGAGGUCUUGAGUUCAACUCUCAACAAGAGCA